AAGUCUUGAAAGUACUUUUGUAUAAUCUAGUAAAACUUAUAGCAACGGAUCUCUUGGCUCUCGUAUCGAUGAAGAACGCAGCGAAAUGUGAUAAGUAAUGUGAAUUGCAGAAUUCAGUGAAUCAUCGAAUCUUUGAACGCAUCUUGCGCUCUUUGGUAUUCCGAAGAGCAUGUCUGUCUGAGUGUCACGAAACUCUCAACCUCCUUUCCUUUGUGAUCGGCUGGUUGGAUCAUGGGCGCUUGCCGGCCAGGUCGGCUCGCCUGAAAUGCAUUUGCGAUGUUGUGUCCUUGUGAGUUGGCCCGACUAGGCGUGAUGGUAACGACGUUCGUCUAGGAUCCCGCUUCGGCGAGGAGCCGCUCCUGUUGGGCGUUUGCCUUCGCAUGAACACUCAUAUCUUUGGUUUAGACCUCAGAUCAGGCAGGAUUACCCGCUGAACUUAAGCAUAUCAAUAAGCGGAGGAAAAGAAACUAACAAGGAUUCCCCCAGUAACGGCGAGUGAAGAGGGAAGAGCUCAAAUUUGUAAUCUGGCCGUUCUGCGGUCCGAGUUGUAACCUAUAGAAGCGUUUUCUGUGCCUGGCCCCUUAUGAGUCUGUUGGAAUAUAGCGUCAAAGAGGG
rnacentral:rRNA from 1 species